GGGCGGUUAGCUCAGCGGUAGAGCACCACGUUGACAUCGUGGUGGCCACUGGUUCGAUCCCAGUACCGCCCACCA
rnacentral:tRNA from 5 species